AUAAGGUCUUCAGCUAACUGGGCAUGUUCGAGCACCUCCGCAUAUGAGCUAAGUCUAAGAAUCGCGGCCCGGUCAUAAAUUUCAGCAUAAAGGUCCUUGAAAAAUUUUCCAACUUUUCAGCUUUCGAAGGUGACUAUCAAAGGGGCAAACUCGAAAAGUUGAACAAAACGGAUUGCAUAUUGGGCUACAGACAGGCUUCCUAGGUAGAGGUCCUGAAAUUUUUCCUC
rnacentral:lncRNA from 1 species